GGGGAAUAUUGCGCAAUGGAGGCAACUCUGACGCAGCCACGCCGCGUGGUGGAAGACACCCCUAUGGGGCGUAAACACCUUUUAUGUGGGAAGAAGGCUCUCCUCAGGAGGGUUUGACGGUACCACAUGAAUAAGCACCGGCUAACUCCGUGCCAGCAGCCGCGGUAAUACGGAGGGUGCAAGCGUUGUCCGGAAUCACUGGGUGUAAAGGGUGUGUAGGCGGACCUGUAAGUCAGAGGUGAAAGUCUGCGGCUUAACCGUAGAAUUGCCUUUGAUACUGUAGGUCUUGAGUCCCGGAGAGGUCGCUGGAAUUCGUGGUGUAGCGGUGAAAUGCGUAGAUAUCACGAGGAACACCAGAGGCGUAGGCGAGCAACUGGACGGGUACUGACGCUGAGGCACGAAAGCGUGGGGAGCAAACAGGAUUAGAUACCCUGGUAGUCCAUGCUGUAAACGAUGAACGCUCGAUGUUGCCUGCCUUUGUGCGGGCAGCGUCUAAGCUAACGCGUUAAGCGUUCCACCUGGGGAGUACGAUCGCAAGAUUG
rnacentral:rRNA from 1 species